GGUUAAGCGACUAAGCGUACACGGUGGAUGCCCUGGCAGUCAGAGGCGAUGAAGGACGUGCUAAUCUGCGAUAAGCGUCGGUGAGGUGAUAUGAACCGUUAUAACCGGCGAUUUCCGAAUGGGGAAACCCAGUGUGUUUCGACACACUAUCAUUAACUGAAUCCAUAGGUUAAUGAGGCGAACCGGGGGAACUGAAACAUCUAAGUACCCCGAGGAAAAGAAAUCAACCGAGAUUCCCCCAGUAGCGGCGAGCGAACGGGGAGGAGCCCAGAGCCUGAAUCAGUGUGUGUGUUAGUGGAAGCGUCUGGAAAGGCGCGCGAUACAGGGUGACAGCCCCGUACACAAAAAUGCACAUAUUGUGAGCUCGAUGAGUAGGGCGGGACACGUGGUAUCCUGUCUGAAUAUGGGGGGACCAUCCUCCAAGGCUAAAUACUCCUGACUGACCGAUAGUGAACCAGUACCGUGAGGGAAAGGCGAAAAGAACCCCGGCGAGGGGAGUGAAAAAGAACCUGAAACCGUGUACGUACAAGCAGUGGGAGCCUCUUUAUGGGGUGACUGCGUACCUUUUGUAUAAUGGGUCAGCGACUUAUAUUCUGUAGCAAGGUUAACCGAAUAGGGGAGCCGAAGGGAAACCGAGUCUUAACUGGGCGUUAAGUUGCAGGGUAUAGACCCGAAACCCGGUGAUCUAGCCAUGGGCAGGUUGAAGGUUGGGUAACACUAACUGGAGGACCGAACCGACUAAUGUUGAAAAAUUAGCGGAUGACUUGUGGCUGGGGGUGAAAGGCCAAUCAAACCGGGAGAUAGCUGGUUCUCCCCGAAAGCUAUUUAGGUAGCGCCUCGUGAAUUCAUCUCCGGGGGUAGAGCACUGUUUCGGCAAGGGGGUCAUCCCGACUUACCAACCCGAUGCAAACUGCGAAUACCGGAGAAUGUUAUCACGGGAGACACACGGCGGGUGCUAACGUCCGUCGUGAAGAGGGAAACAACCCAGACCGCCAGCUAAGGUCCCAAAGUCAUGGUUAAGUGGGAAACGAUGUGGGAAGGCCCAGACAGCCAGGAUGUUGGCUUAGAAGCAGCCAUCAUUUAAAGAAAGCGUAAUAGCUCACUGGUCGAGUCGGCCUGCGCGGAAGAUGUAACGGGGCUAAACCAUGCACCGAAGCUGCGGCAGCGACACUAUGUGUUGUUGGGUAGGGGAGCGUUCUGUAAGCCUGUGAAGGUGGCCUGUGAGGGUUGCUGGAGGUAUCAGAAGUGCGAAUGCUGACAUAAGUAACGAUAAAGCGGGUGAAAAGCCCGCUCGCCGGAAGACCAAGGGUUCCUGUCCAACGUUAAUCGGGGCAGGGUGAGUCGACCCCUAAGGCGAGGCCGAAAGGCGUAGUCGAUGGGAAACAGGUUAAUAUUCCUGUACUUGGUGUUACUGCGAAGGGGGGACGGAGAAGGCUAUGUUGGCCGGGCGACGGUUGUCCCGGUUUAAGCGUGUAGGCUGGUUUUCCAGGCAAAUCCGGAAAACCAAGGCUGAGGCGUGAUGACGAGGCACUACGGUGCUGAAGCGACAAAUGCCCUGCUUCCAGGAAAAGCCUCUAAGCAUCAGGUAACAUCAAAUCGUACCCCAAACCGACACAGGUGGUCAGGUAGAGAAUACCAAGGCGCUUGAGAGAACUCGGGUGAAGGAACUAGGCAAAAUGGUGCCGUAACUUCGGGAGAAGGCACGCUGAUAUGUAGGUGAAGCGACUUGCUCGUGGAGCUGAAAUCAGUCGAAGAUACCAGCUGGCUGCAACUGUUUAUUAAAAACACAGCACUGUGCAAACACGAAAGUGGACGUAUACGGUGUGACGCCUGCCCGGUGCCGGAAGGUUAAUUGAUGGGGUUAGCGGUAACGCGAAGCUCUUGAUCGAAGCCCCGGUAAACGGCGGCCGUAACUAUAACGGUCCUAAGGUAGCGAAAUUCCUUGUCGGGUAAGUUCCGACCUGCACGAAUGGCGUAAUGAUGGCCAGGCUGUCUCCACCCGAGACUCAGUGAAAUUGAACUCGCUGUGAAGAUGCAGUGUACCCGCGGCAAGACGGAAAGACCCCGUGAACCUUUACUAUAGCUUGACACUGAACAUUGAGCCUUGAUGUGUAGGAUAGGUGGGAGGCUUUGAAGUGUGGACGCCAGUCUGCAUGGAGCCGACCUUGAAAUACCACCCUUUAAUGUUUGAUGUUCUAACGUUGGCCCGUAAUCCGGGUUGCGGACAGUGUCUGGUGGGUAGUUUGACUGGGGCGGUCUCCUCCUAAAGAGUAACGGAGGAGCACGAAGGUUGGCUAAUCCUGGUCGGACAUCAGGAGGUUAGUGCAAUGGCAUAAGCCAGCUUGACUGCGAGCGUGACGGCGCGAGCAGGUGCGAAAGCAGGUCAUAGUGAUCCGGUGGUUCUGAAUGGAAGGGCCAUCGCUCAACGGAUAAAAGGUACUCCGGGGAUAACAGGCUGAUACCGCCCAAGAGUUCAUAUCGACGGCGGUGUUUGGCACCUCGAUGUCGGCUCAUCACAUCCUGGGGCUGAAGUAGGUCCCAAGGGUAUGGCUGUUCGCCAUUUAAAGUGGUACGCGAGCUGGGUUUAGAACGUCGUGAGACAGUUCGGUCCCUAUCUGCCGUGGGCGCUGGAGAACUGAGGGGGGCUGCUCCUAGUACGAGAGGACCGGAGUGGACGCAUCACUGGUGUUCGGGUUGUCAUGCCAAUGGCACUGCCCGGUAGCUAAAUGCGGAAGAGAUAAGUGCUGAAAGCAUCUAAGCACGAAACUUGCCCCGAGAUGAGUUCUCCCUGACUCCUUGAGAGUCCUGAAGGAACGUUGAAGACGACGACGUUGAUAGGCCGGGUGUGUAAGCGCAGCGAUGCGUUGAGCUAACCGGUACUAAUGAACCGUGAGGCUUAACCUUACAACGCCGAAG
rnacentral:rRNA from 2 species